rnacentral:rRNA from 1 species
GACGAACGCUGGCGGCGUGCCUAAUACAUGCAAGUAGGACGCAGUUGCGAACGGGUGAGUAACGCGUAGGUAACUACCUAUUAGAGGGGGCUAACUAUUGGAAACGAUAGCUAAUACCGCAUACUAGUAGCUGGACCUGCGUUGUAUUAGCUAGUAGGUAGGGUACUGACCUACCUAGGCAACGAUACAUACUCGACCUGAGAGGGGGACCGGCCACACGGGGACUGAUACACGGCCCAGACUCCUACGGGAGGCAGCGGUAGGAAAUCUUCGGAUAUGGGGGUAACCCUGACCGAGCAACGCCGCGUGAGUGAAGAAGGUUUUCGGAUCGUAAAGCUCUGUUGUUAAGGAAGCGGUACUUAACCAGAAAAGGACGGCUAACUACGUGCGAGCAGCCGCGGUAAUAC